rnacentral:rRNA from 1 species
UCCUACGGGGGGCAGCAGUGAGGAAUAUUGGUCAAUGGGCGGGAGCCUGAACCAGCCAAGCCGCGUGAGGGAAGAAGGUACAGCGUAUCGUAAACCUCUUUUGUCAGGGAACAAAGGCGGGGACUAGUCCCCGGAUGAGGGUACCUGAAGAAAAAGCAUCGGCUAACUCCGUGCCAGCAGCCGCGGUAAUACGUAGGGUGCGAGCGUUAAUCGGAAUUACUGGGCGUAAAGGGUGUGCAGGCGGCUGAGUAAGACAGAUGUGAAAUCCCCGGGCUUAACCUGGGAACCGCAUAUGUGACUGCUUG